ACGAACGCUGGCGGCGUGCCUAAUACCUGCAAGUAGAACGCACAGUUUAUACCGUAGCUUGCUACACCAUAGACUGUGAGUUGCGAACGGGUGAGUAACGCGUAGGUAACCUGCCUGGUAGCGGGGGAUAACUAUUGGAAACGAUAGCUAAUACCGCAUAAUAUUGAUUAUUGCAUGAUAAUUAAUUGAAAGGUGCAAUUGCACCACUACCAGAUGGACCUGCGUUUGAUUAGCUAGUAGGUGAGGUAACGGCUCACCUAGGCGACGAUACAUAGCCGACCUGAGAGGGGGAUCGGCCACACUGGGACUGAGACACGGCCCAGACUCCUACGGGAGGCAGCAGUAGGGAAUCUUCGGCAAUGGACGAAAGUCUGACCGAGCAACGCCGCGUGAGUGAAGAAGGUUUUCGGAUCGUAAAGCUCUGUUGUAAGAGAAGAACGGGUGUGAGAGUGGAAAGUUCACACUGUGACGGUAUCUUACCAGAAAGGGACGGCUAACUACGUG
rnacentral:rRNA from 1 species